AUUGAACGCUGGCGGCAGGCUUAACACAUGCAAGUCGAGCGGAGAUGAGGUGCUUGCACCUUAUCUUAGCGGCGGACGGGUGAGUAAUGCUUAGGAAUCUGCCUAUUAGUGGGGGACAACAUUCCGAAAGGAAUGCUAAUACCGCAUACGUCCUACGGGAGAAAGCAGGGGAUCUUCGGACCUUGCGCUAAUAGAUGAGCCUAAGUCGGAUUAGCUAGUUGGUGGGGUAAAGGCCUACCAAGGCGACGAUCUGUAGCGGGUCUGAGAGGAUGAUCCGCCACACUGGGACUGAGACACGGCCCAGACUCCUACAGGAGGCAGCAGUGGGGAAUAUUGGACAAUGGGGGGAACCCUGAUCCAGCCAUGCCGCGUGUGUGAGGAAGGCCUUAUGGUUGUAAAGCACUUUAAGCGAGGAGGAGGCUACUGAGACUAAUACUCUUGGAUAGUGGACGUUACUCGCAGAAUAAGCACCGGCUAACUCUGUGCCAGCCGCCGCUGUAAAAC
rnacentral:rRNA from 1 species